UGGGGAAUCUUGGACAAUGGGCGCAAGCCUGAUCCAGCCAUGCCGCGUGGAUGAUGAAGGCCUUAGGGUUGUAAAAUCCUUUCGUUGGGGACGAUAAUGACGGUACCCAAAGAAGAAGCUCCGGCUAACUUCGUGCCAGCAGCCGCGGUAAUACGAAGGGGGCUAGCGUUGUUCGGAUUUACUGGGCGUAAAGCGCGUGUAGGCGGGUCGUUAAGUUGGGGGUGAAAUCCCGAGGCUCAACCUCGGAACUGCCUUCAAAACUGGCGACCUGGACCUAAGUAGAGGCAAGUGGAAUUGCGAGUGUAGAGGUGAAAUUCGUAGAUAUUCGCAGGAACACCAGUGGCGAAGGCGACUUGCUGGACUUAUGGUGACGCUGAGACGCGAAAGCGUGGGGAGCAAACAGGAUUAGAUACCCCUGUAGUCCCUGAGCGGGCUGGCAAGGCGCAU
rnacentral:rRNA from 1 species